rnacentral:rRNA from 1 species
GAUGAACGCUGACAGAAUGCUUAACACAUGCAAGUCCACUUGAACUUCGGUUUGGGUGGCGGACGGGUGAGUAACGCGUAAAGAACUUGCCUCACAGUUAGGGACAACAUUUGGAAACGAAUGCUAAUACCUGAUAUUAUGAUUUUAGGGCAUCCUAGAAUUAUGAAAGCUAUAUGCGCUGUGAGAGAGCUUUGCGUCCCAUUAGCUAGUUGGAGAGGUAACGGCUCACCAAGGCGAUGAUGGGUAGCCGGCCUGAGAGGGUGAACGGCCACAAGGGGACUGAGACACGGCCCUUACUCCUACGGGAGGCAGCAGUGGGGAAUAUUGGACAAUGGACCAAGAGUCUGAUCCAGCAAUUCUGUGUGCACGAUGAAGUUUUUCGGAAUGUAAAGUGCUUUCAGUUGGGAAGAAAAAAAUGACGAUACCAACAGAAGAAGAGACGGCUAAAUACGUG